rnacentral:rRNA from 1 species
UACAGAGGUCCCAAGCGUUGUUCGGAUUCACUGGGCGUAAAGGGUGCGUAGGUGGUGGGGUAAGUCGGAUGUGAAAGCUCGAAGCUCAACUCCGAAAUGGCAUUGGAAACUACCCUGCUAGAGGAUUGGAGGGGGGACUGGAAUACUUGGUGUAGCAGUGAAAUGCGUAGAUAUCAAGUGGAACACCAGUGGCGAAGGCGAGUCCCUGGACAAUACCUGACACUGAGGCACGAAAGCUAGGGGAGCAAACAGG